GAUGAAGAACGUAGCGAAAUGCGAUAAGUAAUGUGAAUUGCAGAAUUCAGUGAAUCAUCGAAUCUUUGAACGCACAUUGUGCCCGCCAGUAUUCUGGCGGGCAUGCCUGUUCGAGCGUCAUUACAACCCUCAGGCCCCCGGGCCUGGCGUUGGGGAUCGGCGGAAGCCCCCUGUGGGCACACGCCGUCCCUCAAAUACAGUGGCGGUCCCGCCGCAGCUUCCAUUGCGUAGUAGCUAACACCUCGCAACUGGAGAGCGGCGCGGCCAUGCCGUAAAACACCCAACUUCUGAAUGUUGACCUCGAAUCAGGUAGGAAUACCCGCUGAACUUAAGCAUAUCAAUAAGCGGAGGA
rnacentral:misc_RNA from 1 species